CCUACGGGAGGCAGCAGUGGGGAAUCUUGCGCAAUGGGCGAAAGCCUGACGCAGCCAUGCCGCGUGAAUGAUGAAGGUCUUAGGAUUGUAAAAUUCUUUCACCGGGGACGAUAAUGACGGUACCCGGAGAAGAAGCCCCGGCUAACUUCGUGCCAGCAGCCGCGGUAAUACGAAGGGGGCUAGCGUUGCUCGGAAUUACUGGGCGUAAAGGGAGCGUAGGCGGAUAGUUUAGUCAGAGGUGAAAGCCCAGGGCUCAACCUUGGAAUUGCCUUUGAUACUGGCUAUCUUGAGUACGGAAGAGGUAUGUGGAACUCCGAGUGUAGAGGUGAAAUUCGUAGAUAUUCGGAAGAACACCAGUGGCGAAGGCGACAUACUGGUCCGUUACUGACGCUGAGGCUCGAAAGCGUGGGGAGCAAACAGGAUUAGAUACCCUGGUAGUCCACGCUGUAAACGAUGAGUGCUAGUUGUCGGCAUGCAUGCAUGUCGGUGACGCAGCUACGACAUUAAGACACUCCGCCGUCGGGGAGGUACGGUCCGCGAAGAAUUAAACUAACGAAAGAAAGUAGACGGACGUGAGACGUGCCGAACGGACGACGACGAGGGAGGAGG
rnacentral:rRNA from 1 species